rnacentral:rRNA from 1 species
CUAACGACUCUCGGCAACGGAUAUCUCGGCUCACGCAUCGAUGAAGAACGUAGCAAAAUGCGAUACUUGGUGUGAAUUGCAGAAUCCCGUGAACCAUCGAGUUUUUGAACGCAAGUUGCGCCCAAAGCCAUUCGGCCGAGGGCACGCCUGCCUGGGCGUCACGC